UACGUAGGGUGCAGGCGUUAAUCGGAAUUACUGGGCGUAAAGCGUGCGCAGGCGGUUUGCUAAGACAGGUGUGAAAUCCCCGGGCCUAACCUGGGAACUGCGCUUGUAACUGGCAAGCUAGAGUGUGGCAGAGGGGGGUGGAAUUCCACGUGUAGCAGUGAAAUGCGUAGAGAUGCGGAGGAACACCGAUGGCGAAGGCAGCCCCCUGGGCUAGCACUGACGCUCAGGCACGAAAGCGUGGGGAGCAAACAGG
rnacentral:rRNA from 1 species